rnacentral:rRNA from 1 species
GAACGAGUUCUCGUUGAUGAUCGGUGCUUGCACCGAGAUUCAACAUGGAACGAGUGGCGGACGGGUGAGUAACACGUGGGUAACCUGCCCUUAAGUGGGGGAUAACAUUUGGAAACAGAUGCUAAUACCGCAUAGAUCCAAGAACCGCAUGGUUCUUGGCUGAAAGAUGGCGUAAGCUAUCGCUUUUGGAUGGACCCGCGGCGUAUUAGCUAGUUGGUGAGGUAAUGGCUCACCAAGGCGAUGAUACGUAGCCGAACUGAGAGGUUGAUCGGCCACAUUGGGACUGAGACACGGCCCAAACUCCUACGGGAGGCAGCAGUAGGGAAUCUUCCACAAUGGACGCAAGUCUGAUGGAGCAACGCCGCGUGAGUGAAGAAGGCUUUCGGGUCGUAAAACUCUGUUGUUGGAGAAGAAUGGUCGGCAGAGUAACUGUUGUCGGCGUGACGGUAUCCAACCAGAAAGCCACGGCUAACUACGUGCCAGCAGCCGCGGUAAUACGUAGGUGGCAAGCGUUAUCCGGAUUUAUUGGGCGUAAAGCGAGCGCAGGCGGUUUUUUAAGUCUGAUGUGAAAGCCCUCGGCUUAACCGAGGAAGCGCAUCGGAAACUGGGAAACUUGAGUGCAGAAGAGGACAGUGGAACUCCAUGUGUAGCGGUGAAAUGCGUAGAUAUAUGGAAGAACACCAGUGGCGAAGGCGGCUGUCUGGUCUGUAACUGACGCUGAGGCUCGAAAGCAUGGGUAGCGAACAGGAUUAGAUACCCUGGUAGUCCAUGCCGUAUACGAUGAAUGCUA